rnacentral:rRNA from 1 species
GACGAACGCUGGCGGCGUGCUUAACACAUGCAAGUCGAACGGUGAAGGGGUCUGCUUUUGUGGGCCCUGGAUGAGUGGCGAACGGGUGAGUAACACGUGAGUAACCUGCCCCCUUCUUCUGGAUAACCGCAUGAAAGUGUGGCUAAUACGGGAUAUUCUGGGUCUGUCGCAUGAUGGGUCUGGGAAAGAUUGCGCCUUUGGGUGUUUUUGGUGGGGGAUGGGCUCGCGGCCUAUCGGCUUGUUGGUGGGGUGAUGGCCUACCAAGGCGGGGACGGGUAGCCGGCCUGAGAGGGUGGACGGUCACACUGGGACUGAGGCACGGCCCAGACUCCUACGGGAGGCAGCAGUGGGGAACAGGGCACAAUGGGCGCAAGCCUGAUGCAGCGACGCCGCGUGAGGGAUGGAGGCCUUCGGGUUGUAAACCUCUUUCGCCAGUGAAGCAGGCCUGCUCCAUGUGGGUGGGUUGACGGUAGCUGGAUAAGAAGCGCCGGCUAACUACGUG